rnacentral:rRNA from 1 species
GGGGAAUAUUGGACAAUGGGGGCAACCCUGAUCCAGCAAUGCCGCGUGUGUGAAGAAGGUCUUCGGAUUGUAAAGCACUUUCGACGGGGACGAUGAUGACGGUACCCGUAGAAGAAGCCCCGGCUAACUUCGUGCCAGCAGCCGCGGUAAUACGAAGGGGGCUAGCGUUGCUCGGAAUGACUGGGCGUAAAGGGCGUGUAGGCGGUUUACACAGUCAGAUGUGAAAUCCCCGGGCUUAACCUGGGAGCUGCAUUUGAUACGUGUAGACUAGAGUGUGAGAGAGGGUUGUGGAAUUCCCAGUGUAGAGGUGAAAUUCGUAGAUAUUGGGAAGAACACCGGUGGCGAAGGCGGCAACCUGGCUCAUGACUGACGCUGAGGCGCGAAAGCGUGGGGAGCAAACAGGAUUAGAUACCCUGGUAGUCCACGCUGUAAACGAUGUGUGCUAGAUGUUGGGUAACUUUGUUAUUCAGUGUCGCAGUUAACGCGUUAAGCACACCGCCUGGGGGAGUACGGGCCGCAAG